rnacentral:lncRNA from 1 species
GAUCCUAGUCCCAGGUAUCCAAACCAAAAAAAAAACCAAUUAAGGGUAAUAAUGUCAGAAUCUCUUAGUGUACUGGGUUUAAUGACUAUGAAUGUGUUGAUUAAAACAAAGGCACAUGCUAAAAUACCAAUCAGAAUAAUGAACAUAAUGACAAAUACCAUAAAACUGCAAAAACGAGAAAUAAUGGGAAAAUUUUUAUAUGCAAUGGAAGAAACAAAAGGAGCAGGCAGACAGCGAAAAGUUGGGAAAAACUAAAGCCACUGUUGGCAUGUCACAAAAGGACUUUAGAAAUCUUUUUGACUGAACCAAAAUAAGGAAAGACAAAGAAGCCAUUGUUAACACUGUUAUAUAAAUAUCAACAUGUUUUCAUAAUAUACAGUUAUGAUUUAGGUUAUUGCAAUAUCAUUGAACAUGAAAUAGACUGCUAAUUUACUUGCCACCAUACAGAUGCCUUAUGCACAAAAGAAUCGGAUGAACGAAAUUGUUGAAGAAAUGUUAGAGAAUGACAUUAUUGAACAUUCACACACCAGCCCUUUUUGUUAAAAAGAAGAAUGGAACAUUUAGGUUCAUAAUAGGUCCUUUUGACUGAGUGCUUUAUCUGCUUGAAUCCAUGAAAACAAAUAUGUCAUCUACAUAGUGGAACAUAUAAAAUUAUAGAGGCUUUGAAUGAAGUCAAAAUAUCUUUCUCCACAAAUCCAAAGAGGAUCUCAGCUAACACUCUACUCACGAUCCAUCUAUCUGAGCACUUUGUACUUAUAAAAACUGCUAUUGAAUUUAAAGGAGGACUCAUGACAAAUUAAAUUGACAAUCUCUCUAAACAUACUGGCUUAUUGGAACCAUGCUCAGUAGAAAUCUAUAAAAAGAAAGGCAUGAUGCUAUUAACAACAAAGAGUAUAAUUUUUCAAAAUCAUACAUAUUAAGAUACUCAUUUGGCCUAC